rnacentral:rRNA from 1 species
UUUGGUGAUUGAGUGGCGGACGGGUGAGUAACGCGUGGGUAACCUACCCUGUACAGGGGGAUAACAGUCAGAAAUGACUGCUAAUACCGCAUAGCCAUGAGCACCGCAUGGAGCUCAUGCCAAAUAUCCUUUCGGGGAUAGCGCAGGGAUGGACCUAUGGCGCAUUAGCUGGUCGGCGGGGCAACGGCCCACCAAGGCAACGAUGCGUAGCCGGCCUGAGAGGGCGGACGGCCACAUUGGGACUGAGACACGGCCCAGACUCC